GUCCACGCCGUAAACGAUGGGUACUAGGUGUUGGGGGUAUUGACCCCUCCAGUGCCGCAGUUAACGCACUAAGUACCCCGCCUGGGAAGUACGGCCGCAAGGCUAAAACUCAAAGGAAUUGACGGGGGCCCGCACAAGCGGUGGAGCAUGUGGUUCAAUUCGACGCAACGCGAAGAACCUUACCUGGGCUUGACAUCCCGGGAACCCCCUGGAAACAGGGGGGUGCCCGCAAGGGAGCCUGGAGACAGGUGCUGCAUGGCUGUCGU
rnacentral:rRNA from 1 species